GACGAACGCUGGCGGCGUGCUUAACACAUGCAAGUCGAACGGAAAGGCCCCUUCGGGGGUACUCGAGUGGCGAACAGGGGAGUAACACGUGAGUAACCUGCACUUGACUUCGGGAUAACUUCAGGAAACUGGGGCUAAUACCGGAUAGGAAUCCUUGCUGCAUGGGGGGGGUUGGAAAGCUUCGGCGGUUUUGGAUGGACUCGCGGCUCAUCAGCUUGUUGGUUGGGUAGUGGCUUACCAAGGCUUUGACGGGUAGCCGGCCUGUGAGGGCGACCGGCCACAUUGGCACUGAGAUCCGGCCCAGACUCCUACUGGAGGCAGCCGUGGGGAAUAUUGCACAAUGGGCGGAAGCCUGAUGCAGCAACGCCGCGUGCGGGAUGACGGCCUUCGGGUUGUCAACCGCUUUCAGCAGGGGCGAAGCUUGUGGUGACGGUACCUGCAGAAGAAGCACCGGCUAACUACGUG
rnacentral:rRNA from 1 species